ACUGGUGAGUAACACGUGGCAAACCUGCCCAUAACCGGGGGAUAACACCUGGAAACAGAUGCUAAUACCGCAUAACAACUUGGACCGCAUGGUCCGAGCUUGAGAGAUGGCUUCGGCUAUCACUUUUAGAUGGUCCCGCGGCGAAUUAACUAUAUGGCGGGGUAACGGCUCACCAUGGCAAUGAUACGUAGCCGACCUGAGAGGGUAAUCUGCCACAUUGGGACUGAGACACGGCCCAAACUCCUACGGGAGGCAGCAGUAGGGAAUCUUCCACAAUGGACUAAACUCUGAUGGAGCAACGCCGCGUGAGUGAAGAAGGGUUUCGGCUCGUACAACUCUGCUGCUAAAGAAGAACAUAUCUGAGAGUUACUGUUCACGUAUUGACGGGAUUUAACCAGAAAGCCACGGCUAACUACUUGCCAGCGGCCGCGGUAAUACAUAUGUGGCAAGCGACGUCCGGAUUUACUGGGUAUAAAGCGAACGCAGGAGGUUUUUUAAAUCUGAUGUGAAAGCCUUCGGCUCAACCUAUGAAGUGCAUCGCAAACUGGGAAACUUGA
rnacentral:rRNA from 1 species